AGUGAACGCUGGCGGUAGGCCUAACACAUGCAAGUCGAACGGCAGCACAGUAAGAGCUUGCUCUUACGGGUGGCGAGUGGCGGACGGGUGAGGAAUACAUCGGAAUCUACUUUUUCGUGGGGGAUAACGUAGGGAAACUUACGCUAAUACCGCAUACGACCUACGGGUGAAAGCAGGGGAUCUUCGGACCUUGCGCGAUUGAAUGAGCCGAUGUCGGAUUAGCUAGUUGGCGGGGUAAAGGCCCACCAAGGCGACGAUCCGUAGCUGGUCUGAGAGGAUGAUCAGCCACACUGGAACUGAGACACGGUCCAGACUCCUACGGGAGGCAGCAGUGGGGAAUAUUGGACAAGGGGCGCAAGCCUGAUCCAGCCAUACCGCGUGGGUGAAGAAGGCCUUCGGGUUGUAAAGCCCUUUUGUUGGGAAGGAAAAGCAGCAGGUUAAUACCCCGCUGUUCUGACGGUACCCAAAGAAUAAGCACCGGCUAACUUCGUG
rnacentral:rRNA from 1 species